rnacentral:rRNA from 1 species
UACGUAAGGACCGAGCGUUGUCCGGAAUCAUUGGGCGUAAAGGGUACGUAGGCGGCUAGAAAAGUUAGAAGUCAAAGGCUAUAGCUCAACUAUAGUAAGCUUCUAAAACUAUUUAGCUUGAGAAAUGGAAGGGAAAGUGGAAUUCCUAGUGUAGCGGUGGAAUGCGCAGAUAUUAGGAAGAAUACCGGUGGCGAAGGCGACUUUCUGGCCAUUAUCUGACGCUGAGGUACGAAAGCGUGGGUAGCAAACAGGAUUAGAUACCCUGGUAGUCCACGCCGUAAACGAUGAGUGUUAGGUGUCUGGAGUCAAAUCUGGGUGCCGCAGCAAACGCAUUAAACACUCCGCCUGGGGAGUACGCACGCAAGUGUGAAACUCAAAGGA